rnacentral:rRNA from 1 species
CAGCCGCCACGGGAAUACGAAGGGUGCAAGCGUUACUCGGAAUUACUGGGCGUAAAGCGUGCGUAGGUGGUUGUUUAAGUCUGUUGUGAAAGCCCUGGGCUCAACCUGGGAAUUGCAGUGGAUACUGGGCGACUAGAGUGUGGUAGAGGGUAGUGGAAUUCCCGGUGUAGCAGUGAAAUGCGUAGAGAUCGGGAGGAACAUCCAUGGCGAAGGCAGCUACCUGGACCAACACUGACACUGAGGCACGAAAGCGUGGGGAGCAAACAGGAUUAGAGACCCCCGUAGUCCCUGUCUCUUAUAC